AUUGAACGAUGGCGGCAGGCUUAACACAUGCAAGUCUAGCGAGCGGCGGACGGGUGAGUAAUGUCUGGGCAACUGCCUGAUGGAGGGGGAUAAGUACUGGAAACGGUAGCUAAUACCGCAUACCAUCAGAUGUGCCCAGAUGGGAUUAGCAAGUAGGUGGGGUAAUGGCUCACCUAGGCGCCGAUCCCUAGCUGGUCUGCGAGGAUGACCAGCCACACUGUAACUGAGAUACGGGCCAGAAUCCGACGGUAGGCAGCAGUGGGGAAUAUUGCACAAUGGGCGCAAGCCUGAUGCAGCUAUGACGCGUGUGUGAAGAAGGCCUUCGGGUUUUAAAGCACUUUCAGCGAGUAGGCGUUACUCGCAGAAGAAGCACCGGCUAACUCCGUGCAAGCAGCCGCGGUAAGAC
rnacentral:rRNA from 1 species